CCUGUGGGGCGAGGCCUGUGGGGCGGGGCGCGCGACUGCGCCGGGCGGCGAUGGCGGCGGACGGGGACUGGCAGGAUUUCUAUGAGUUCCAGGAGCCCGCCCGGAGCCUCCAGGACCAAGAGAACUGUAACGCGAGCCCCGAGGCCGGGGCAGGGCCGGGCGGGGGAGGUGACGGCUUCCCGGCGCUGGCCUGCAGCUUGGAGGAGAAGCUGAGCCUGUGUUUCCGCCCCUCGGGUCCCGGCGCCGAGCCCCCGAGGGCGGCCGUGCGGCCCAUCACCGAGCGCAGCCUCCUGCAGGGGGACGAGAUUUGGAAUGCCCUGACCGAUAAUUACGGGAACGUCAUGCCUGUAGACUGGAAGUCAUCCCAUACUAGGACCUUGCAUUUGCUUACACUGAACCUCUCAGAAAAAGGGAUAAGUGACAGUUUGCUCUUUGAUACAUCAGAUGAUGAGGAGCUGAGAGAACAGCUGGAUAUGCAUUCAAUCAUCGUCUCCUGCGUUAAUGAAGAGCCCCUCUUCACUGCAGACCAGGUUAUUGAAGAAAUUGAAGAAAUGAUGCAGGAAUCUCCAGACCCAGAAGAUGACGAGACACCCACGCAGUCAGAUCGGCUGUCGAUGCUGUCCCAGGAAAUCCAGACUCUUAAGAGGUCCAGUACUAGCAGUUAUGAAGAGAGAGUAAAAAGGCUCUCGGUAUCUGAAUUAAAUGAGCUACUGGAAGAAAUUGAGACUGCCAUCAAGGAAUACUCCGAGGAGCUGGUGCAGCAGCUGGCCCUGCGAGAUGAGCUGGAGUUCGAAAAGGAAGUGAAAAACAGCUUCAUUUCUGUUCUCAUUGAAGUGCAGAACAAACAGAAAGAGCACAAAGAAACAGCCAAAAAGAAAAAGAAACUCAAGAAUGGCAGCUCUCAGAAUGGGAAGAACGAGAGAAGUCAUAUGCCCGGCACACGCUUCAGCAUGGAGGGGAUCUCAAAUGUCAUUCAGAAUGGCCUCCGCCACACCUUUGGAAAUUCAGGUGGAGAGAAACAGUACUUGACGACAGUCAUUCCUUACGAGAAAAAAAAUGGACCACCAUCUGUUGAAGAUCUUCAGAUAUUAACAAAAAGGACUGGAUUUGCUGCUCUGUUAACUGUUGAUUAAAGAAGGAACCAAAAAAGAGGGAAUCACAGGAAUGCCUCUUGUGACGAUACCUAUUUUGGAAUUUAGGGAUAUGGAGGCGUGGUUGUCGUGAGCACAAGCUGCCUGCCUGUCUCCUUCUACCUGAAGUCGUUACUCUUUCCUUUGGUGAACGAUACUUUCAAAACAUUUUAUACUAAGAUACAGUUCUUCGUGCCAUGAAAGAGGACAGUGACAAGGUUCCGAGCUUGUUAACUGAUUAUAUACUGAAAGUUCUGUGUCCUACAUAAGGCGUCAGGCCAGGAGCGGCUUUCCCUUUCGUGGACCACAGGCUAGAUUUCCUAUGGCAUUGUUCCGAAAGCUGGCUACCAUCCCCUUCCUGCUGUUGGAGACCACACACGCGAACUUGGGUUUGUGACUCAGUGUUACUUACUAGAUCACGCUUUCACUAAUUCUUUAUAUCACGAACCAAGAGAAGUAUGGCACGGUUUUGAAUUCUAAGGGUGUUUUUUUUUUUGUUAAAUGUUAACGGUUAGGAGCUCUUCUCUCCUCCGACUUUGUAGAGGAAGGGGGAGCAGUAUCUGCGCAGGUGCAGUCUUAUUUUUCCUGAACUGACUGUAGGCCCAGCUGAGUUUUGCGGCUUUCUAGAUCUGAACUGCACCGAAGAACUUGUUGAAAGCAUGGAGAGAGUCCUACUGUGGCCGUUCUUUAGUGAUGGCAAGAACCCACACUGAUCUUUCUGAGGGAACUGUGAGGAUCAAUCUUACCUACCAGUAUUGUCCAGGGAGACGGACGCUGAAGCGUGGGCUGUUCUGGGAAGAUGCUGUGGCGAGUGUCACCGGGCCCUGCUGGGGAGGACGGAGGCAGCCGCGCUUCACCACUGUCCCAGCUGUAACCAUUAAGUGGCCAUUCGCUUUCAGAAUUUUGUGUUAAAGAUACAAGACGCGUAAAUGUUUUGCUUCACGUGUCUGUGAAGAAGUGUCCUUUCAAAGGAGGUUGUGUCCUUUAAGGUGCUUACCUGUGUGCUGCAGCCUCGCCCCGCUCCCGCUCCGGUUGUGUUUCACUCACGCCUGCUUGUCUUCCUGAAGUCCCAGUUCUGGAAGCAGCGCCUCACCCGUACAUCACUGGUCACGAAACACUUUGGCCAGUUCCCACCAAGUCAUUGCCAUUUAAUAAAUGUUGGGAAAAAGGGUGA